rnacentral:rRNA from 1 species
GUUUGAUCCUGGCUCAGGAUGAACGCGUGGCGGUAUGCCUAACACAUGCAAGUCGUACGGGAGUUUUUAACUCUAGUGGCAGACGGGUGAGUAACACGUGGGAACGUGCCUUCGCUUCGGGAUAGCCUCGGGAAACUGGGAGUAAUACCGAAUACGCCGUAUUGGGAAAGAUUUAUCGGCGAAGGAUCGGCCCGCGUUGGAUUAGCUAGUUGGCGGUGUAAUGGACCACCAAGGCUACGAUCCAUAGCUGGUCUGAGAGGACGACCAGCCACACUGGGACUGAGACACGGCCCAGACUCCUACGGGAGGCAGCAGUGGGGAAUCUUGGACAAUGGGCGCAAGCCUGAUCCAGCCAUGCCGCGUGAGUGAAGAAGGCCUUAGGGUUGUAAAACUCUUUCGCCGGUGAAGAUAAUGACGGUAACCGGAGAAGAAGCCCCGGCUAACUUCGUG